rnacentral:lncRNA from 1 species
GUGUUGAUUCUGGGUUACUUUAUUAUGAUCUAAAAUAUCAUCAUCUCUUAAAUAUUAGUUCAUGGGACUGGAUAGUGAUUGACUUUUGAGUGGCCUUCCUCAAAGCAUGGUCUGAAGACCACUGCAUCAGGAUCACCAGAGCCUCUUGUUGAAAAUAAAAAAAAAACACCUCUGUUUGCAUCUGUAGACAAAGAUCUGUUCAGAAUGGUUGGCUUUGUGAGUUUACAGCUGGCCGAUGAGAGGUGCUGCAUGAUAUUGGAAGAUGGGACAGAAGGAACCAGUAUUCUGCAGAGGCAGUUGCAUGAGCAGAUAUGAAAUGUCCUGGAGGCUCCCCCAGUAAGCUGAGAAGCACCUGCUUUCCCACUAUAGACUGAGACCACUGAUGGAAGCUUCCCAGAGAUUUGAGAAUUGCAGAAGCUUCUGUGAGCUAUGAAGAACAACGUGACUUUGACCUUCAGACUGAGAUAUAGCUGGAGGCUGCUUUGACCUUCUUUCCCACAGCUCUUUUGACCUUUCUAAAGCCCCAAACCCUAUCUUAAAAAUGACAAAUAUGGAAUGCAAAGAGCAGCUUUUCUUUUUCUGAUCAUGGCCUUAAUGUAAUACAAUAGUGAAACCGUCUAGCAUAGUGAUUAAGAACAUUGGCUGUAGAAUUAGACAUAUUUAGUUUAGCAUUUUGAUUCUACCCCAAACUGGCAAAGUUACUGAAUGUAUCUAAAUUUUAAUUUGCUCAUUUGUAAAAUAUGGCUAAUAAUAGUACUAUUUUUUAGCUCAUUUAUAAAGUAUGGAUAAUAAUAGUGCCUAUUUUAGGGAGUUCUGAAUAUUAAAAGAAGUAAACCAUGUAAAGCACUUAGCACAGUGCUGGAUACUAACAAUCGUUAUUGUGAUCUAACUAUAAUUUUGCUUAAAAACAUUUGUUCAAGUUUUCUUAUAUCAUCUCCUCUAUAGAUAUGAGAAUUUAACAUGAAAUUUUAACUCUACAAGUUAAAUGGGAGCUAAAAUAAUAUUGUGCAGCCUGUUCUUUUUGAAGCAUUUUUAAUGAAUAAAUUAAUUUUCCUAAAAUAAAAAGGUACUGUAGGCUCAUUGUAAAAAGUUAAGAAUACAGAAAUGUAUAAAGUCUAAAAUCAGUGAGUCUCCACCACUGCAUAGUGACUAUUUACAGUUCUGUGUCUAUUUUUCUAUACCUUCUUAUAUGCAU